UGAUCCUGGCUCAGGAUGAACGCUGACAGAAUGCUUAACACAUGCAAGUCGACUGGAAUUCUUCUUAGGAAGAUAGUACGGUGGCGGACGGGUGAGUAACGCGUAAAGAAUUUGCCCUUCAGACUGGGACAACUAAUCGAAAGGUUAGCUAAUACCGGAUAUUAUGAGACCUUGGCAUCAAGGACUUAUGAAAGCUAUAUGCGCUGGAGGAGAACUUUGCGUUCCAUUAGCUAGUUGGUAGGGUAAUGGCCUACCAAGGCGACGAUGGAUAGCCGGCCUGAGAGGGUGAACGGCCACAAGGGGACUGAGACACGGCCCUUACUCCUACGGGAGGCAGCAGUGGGGAAUAUUGGACAAUGGACCAAAAGUCUGAUCCAGCAAUUCUGUGUGCACGAUGAAGGUCUUCGGAUUGUAAAGUGCUUUCAGGUGGGAAGAAGAAAGUGACGGUACCACCAGAAGAAGCGACGGCUAAAUACGUGCCAGCAGCCGCGGUAAUACGUAUGUCGCAAGCGUUAUCCGGAAUUAUUGGGCGUAAAGCGAGUCUAGGCGGCUUGUUAAGUCAGAUGUGAAAAUGCGGGGCUCAACUCCGUAUUGCGUUUGAAACUGGCAGGCUAGAGUACUGGAGAGGUGGGCGGAACUACAAGUGUAGAGGUGAAAUUCGUAGAUAUUUGUAGGAAUGCCGAUAGUGAAGACAGCUCACUGGACAGAUACUGACGCUAAAGCUCGAAAGCGUGGGGAGCGAACAGGAUUAGAUACCCUGGUAGU
rnacentral:rRNA from 1 species